rnacentral:lncRNA from 1 species
ACCGAGCCACGACACCACCCGACAACCAAUGCCACCCUCAACCUGAAGAAUAGGGAGGAAGAAGCACAAACAUGCACACAGCAAGCAAGAAGGCACAGAACAUGCACACAGCCAGCAGUCAGCAGAGACUUCGUAGGCGGCGCCUACAGGUAGGGUACGACGUCAUUGCCGCCGCCGCCAUUCUGGUAGAAACUAGAACUGGGUUUUCACCCGGAGAGAUUCGGUGGUUGCAGGGUAAAGAGAUCCAAGACGACGACGCCUCCAAGAAGGUGAGCGACGCCCAAGGGCGCGACCGUCGUCAGCACCGACAGGUCGUCGUGCGCGGCUUUCGCCUGAGGCUCCCUCAACCCCAACCACAGACUGGAUCAGCUAACCAAGAC